GACGAAGGGGGCUAGCGUUGUUCGGAAUUACUGGGCGUAAAGCGAGUGUAGGCGGUUGGUCAAGUCCGGUGUGAAAGCCUUGAGCUCAACUCAAGAAAUGCACUUGAUACUGGAUGACUAGAGGACCGGAGAGGAUAGUGGAAUUCCCAGUGUAGUGGUGAAAUACGUAGAGAUUGGGAAGAACACCAGUGGCGAAGGCGGCUAUCUGGACGGUUACUGACGCUAAGACGCGAAAGCGUGGGGAGCAAACAGG
rnacentral:rRNA from 1 species